GGCAACUUGGCCGAGCGGUCUAAGGCGCUAGAAUCAGGAAUUGCUUCUCUUCUAUCUAGUCUUUCGGGGCGUGAGUUCGAAUCUCACAGUUGUCA